rnacentral:misc_RNA from 1 species
AUCACUCUGUACAUCUCCAUCAUAGUUUUUACAUGCCCAUACAUAACCACCGUCACUUUUUAAAGCAUAAGCAACCAUAUCAUCAAUGAGGCGAUGUUCGUACCAGAUCCCAGCUUCCUCAAACUUUGACUUCCAUUUUGACUCGUAAACUUCCUGGAAUAUGUCCUUGAAUCUUCCGUCGUAUUUCUUAAGGAUGGUAUUUUUUGUG